AAUGUCUAAGAUAUUUAUAACGGUGGGAUGUGCUUUCGUUCCCCAGUGCAGGGAUACUCUCCACUGAGAGGAGGAAGGAGGUAACUAACCAGGGUGGGACUUCAGCCUGGAGCGCCCUUGGCACCUUGUCACCUGGAGGGUCCAGCCAUUGACAACUGCUGCCCAGUCUCAAUUCUUCAUGCACCCAGCUCCCUACAAGUCCUCUUGGAGUCCAUCAGGAAGCUGUCUUGGUGUUUGUUAUCGCUGUGGUUCAGAGGAGGAUGCUGAGGUUGGGGCAGUAAGUUAUUUGCUUACUUGGCACGAUGGACCCAGGGCCUGUACCCUGGAAUUCAGACUCCUUUUAAUCCUCUUUCACCCUUAGCAUACGAGGCUACAUACACUUGUUCUGGGGACACAGAGGUGCAACACAAAUCAUAAGACACCCUGCUCCCGGGUGAUGGGUGUGGCCAUUUAGGUCCAGUGGCUCUUCAGCUUCUUGGCUACACUUGGGACCUGGGAGCCAGCUGAGUGAGAGGCUGAUCCCGGAUAUCCAGUUACCGUCUUCUCUCCUGGCCUCUUGUUGGCUCCCUGGCCGUGCUGCUUGAGGAAAUGUAUUUUUCAAGUCUGGAAGGAAGCCCCUAUGUGCUUCCUACUUCUGGCCGAGCCAUCUUGUCCACAUCCCAGUGUUUUUGGGUUUCCAGAAAAUACAGACACCAGAGGGGUUACUGACUCUCCCAUCCCUCCCCUGAAGCAAAAAGUAAACAGAUUUUCUGCUUAAAGGGGAGUGAGGUGAGGAGGGAGAGUGCUGCAGGUUGAACUGUGUCUUCCCAGAAGGAGGUGCUGAAUUCCUAACCCCUAGGACCUCAGAUUGUGUCCUUGUCUGGAAAUGGGGUCACUGCAGGUGUAAUUAGUGACAAUGAGGUCCUCCUGGAGUAGGAUGGGCCCUUAAUCCAUGACGACCAGUAUCCUUGUGAAGACUGAUGUGAGGAUCAGCACACGGGGACGAAGGGAUGACCCAAAGCCAAGGACUGCCAGGGCCUGCCGGCAACCACCAGAGGCUGGAAGGGGUGAGAAAAGAUUGACUUAGGUUCCAGAGGGAGCGUGUCCCCGCUGACAUAUUGAUGGGGGAUUUGCGGGCUUCACAAGGAAGAGACAAUACACUUCUGUUGUUUUAAGCCACCCAGCCUGCAGGGCUCUGUUGCGGCAGUUUGGGGAACUAAUGCAAAUAGGUAUGUAAAAGCACAAAUUAUGCCUCGAAAUACCUAUCCUGAGUUUGGAUUUUAGUCUUUGAGAAACCCAUAGCAAGUUCUAGAGCAGGGGAGGAGCACACCAAGUAUACUUUAGGAAUAUUUAUUUGGGGGUGAUAUGCAGGACAUGGAGAAGGAAUAAACUGCAGACAGGGGGCCUUUUUAAGAGACAGCAUCAGAAGUCCAGGUAUGCAGCAAAUCACCCCCACCCUUUAGUGAAUCAUGCACUAAAAAAUGUCACUGAAGUUCCUAGUAGUUGGUUAGCAGAGAGGGGCUGGAUUCAGACUGUGAAGAGGAGAUGGGUAUAAGGGCAAAGGGUUAGGGAAGAAUUGGAGGUGGCUUUGGGAUGACAACAGGGGUGUGCUUGAGGGGAGGUGCGGCAAAGAGGCUGGUUGGGCAGGCAGAGCCCUGAAUGCUGGAGGUCUCUAGACUGACUGGUCUAGGCAAUGGGGAACCAAUUUAAGUCUUAAAGCUGAGAAUUGUUAUAGUGAAAGCAAUUUAAUAUCAUGUAGUGGAAAAAGUAAGAGCUGUGAAAUUAGAACCAGGUUCCAAUGUGAGUUUCACAACUCACUAGCUAUGUGACUUACAGUAAGUUAGUUAACCUAUAUUGGUGAGUUCAGGGGACAUGCAUGGGUUGGUGAUGGCAUAGUCUUUGAUCCUCUCAAAACUCCAAGUGAAAACAGGGUAACCAGAUAGCAAAAAACAAAAACCCAUGCACAAUAUUCACAGGAUGAUUAGGUGUCAAAGUAUCUCCAUAAGCCCCCCAAAAUACUAGCAAGUGGUACAAAUCACUAAAGCCACAGGGCCCAUGUGGUGUUAGUAUCUGUGGAAGAACAUGUGGGAGUGAAGGGGCCUCUAACAGAACAACAGGCAGAGCCUGGCUGGUUGGUGUGAGAACUGAGGACAGUGGCUACAACGGGAAGGGGAUACACUCAUCCCAAUAGGGAGAAUAAUAUGAGGGUCCUGCUGCAAAACCUUUGGUGGGGGGGCACCUGUGGCUCAAAGGAGUAGGGCACUGGCCCCAUAUGCCAGAGGUGGUGGGUUCAAACCCAGCCUCAGCCAGAAACUCCAAAAAAACAAAACCCUUCAGGAACUGGAUCAGUCCAACUUCUGAACUCUUGAAGCUGGCUCACUAGGGCCCCUGCCUGAUAGGACCCCACGCUAAGAAGAUGGGAACCAAAGAUUUUAUAUCAAGCAAAAAUUCUUUUAAGCAUAAAGAGCACACAUUUUUAUCAGCAUGGAAGAACUCAGGAAACAUUGUUCUCUUGACCUUUUUAAAGGAAUCUACAAGAGAAUAAACUUCAGAUGACUUAGUGUCUACAAAUAUUAACUUAAGAACUGGUGGCAAAAAUUAAAUAUAUAGUUACUUGUAAAGUUGUGAUAAGUAAGGAUUUAACGGAGAGAGAUUAAAGAUGGCAGCUGAGUAACAGCUUCCCUGCAACUGGGAACAGCCAGUCUGGGGAGACAAGACUCCAGGCAUCUCUGGCCGGUGGUAUCUGCCUAUAAUCAUCCCUUUGAGGAUACAGGGAGCCAGCA